CACGGGGGGAGCAAGCGUUGUUCGGAAUCACUGGGCGUAAAGGGCGUGUAGGCGGUCAAGUAAGUGGAAUGUGAAAUCCCUCGGCUUACCCGAGGACCUGCAUCCCAAACUGCUUGGCUUGAGUACGGGAGAGGAUGAGGGAAUUCCUGGUGUAGCGGUGAAAUGCGUAGAUAUCAGGAGGAACACCGGUGGCGAAGGCGCUCAUCUGGCCCGAUACUGACGCUGAUGCGCGAAAGCUAGGGGAGCGAACAGG
rnacentral:rRNA from 1 species